rnacentral:rRNA from 1 species
UGCAAGUCGAACGAGAAACUGGUUUUUAAUCAGUGGACAGUGGCGAACGGGUGAGUAACACGUGAGAAACCUGCCCCGGAGACUGGGACAACCGUUGGAAACGACGGCUAAUACCAGAUACCCCCGAUUGGUCGCAUGGCCGAUCGAGGAAAUGCUCUGGCGCUUCGGGAGGGUCUCGCGGCCUAUCAGCUAGUUGGCGGGGUAACGGCCCACCAAGGCAACGACGGGUAGCUGGUCUGAGAGGACGAUCAGCCACACUGGGACUGAGACACGGCCCAGACUCCUACGGGAGGCAGCAGUGGGGAAUAUUGCGCAAUGGGCGAAAGCCUGACGCAGCAACGCCGCGUGAGGGAAGACGGCCUCUCGGGUUGUAAACCUCUUUCAGUGAUGGACGAAAAAUGACGGUAAUUCACAAGAAAGAAGCCUCCGGCCAAACUUACGUUGCCAAGCAGCCGGCGGUAAUAACGUUAGGGAGGCAAGCGGUUGUCCGGGGAUCUCAUGGGGCGUGAAAAGAACCUCCGUAGAGCGCGGUUGUGUGAAGUCCAGAUAGUGGAAAACUC